rnacentral:siRNA from 1 species
GGUGUCGGUGCUGCCGAAUAUCAC